GGCUCAGAGUGAACGCUGGCGGCAGGCCUAAUACAUGCAAGUCGAACGGCAGCACAGUGGAGCUUGCUCCAUGGGUGGCGAGUGGCGGACGGGUGAGGAAUACAUGGGAAUCUGCCCAGUCGUGGGGGAUAACGUAGGGAAACUUACGCUAAUACCGCAUGCGCCCUUCGGGGGAAAGCCGGGGACCUUCGGGCCUGGCGCGAUUGGAUGAGCCCAUGUCGGAUUAGCUAGUUGGCGGGGUAACGGCCCACCAAGGCGACGAUCCGUAGCUGGUCUGAGAGGAUGAUCAGCCACACUGGAACUGAGACACGGUCCAGACUCCUACGGGAGGCAGCAGUAGGGAAUAUUGGACAAUGGGCGCAAGCCUGAUCCAGCCAUGCCGCGUGAGUGAAGAAGGCCCUCGGGUUGUAAAGCUCUUUUGUCCGGAAAGAAAAGCAUCGGGUUAAUACCCCGGUGUUCUGACGGUACCGGAAGAAUAAGCACCGGCUAACUUCGUGCCAGCAGCCGCGGUAAUACGAAGGGUGCAAGCGUUACUCGGAAUUACUGGGCGUAAAGCGUGCGUAGGUGGUUCGUUAAGUCCGAUGUGAAAGCCCUGGGCUCAACCUGGGAAUGGCAUUGGAUACUGGCGGGCUAGAGUGCGGUAGAGGAUAGUGGAAUUCCUGGUGUAGCAGUGAAAUGCGUAGAGAUCAGGAGGAACAUCCGUGGCGAAGGCGACUGUCUGGACCAGCACUACACUAGCA
rnacentral:rRNA from 1 species